rfam:Cyanobacteria bacterium 13_1_40CM_2_61_4 13_1_40cm_2_scaffold_236748, whole genome shotgun sequence.
AGAACCCGGCCUCGGAAGCCCUGGCGAGGCACCGAGUACCGAGUGUUGCGUCGGCGAAGGUAACGACGUCGACGAAGCGUACACAGGGAGGUGAUGGGCCGCAAUGCGCAAGCGUGAAGGGAUUGAGCCCCGUAAUGUACGAACAACUGUGGGUGCCGACCUGCUCAACAUCAGGGAAGGCUACAUCAAGAGCGUCCAUUGCCACGACGCUGGCGAACCCACCGGGGUCCGAGCCCG